rnacentral:misc_RNA from 1 species
UUCUUGUCUUUGACAAUAUGUCCAACAGAAAUGUUGUGUCCUAUAAUUCAGUAAUUUCAGGUCUUGGUUUGCAUGGACUUGCUGUUCAGGCUUUCAAACUAUUUGAGGAGAUGAUAGAGACAGGGAUGAAACCUGACGAAUCUACAUUCUCUUCCCUUCUUUGUGCAUGCUGUCAUAGUGGCCUUGUCAAAGCUGGGCGGGAAGUUUUCAGGAGAAUGAUGGAUGAAUUUU